rnacentral:rRNA from 1 species
AACGUAGGAGACGAACGUUAUCCGGAGUUACUGGGCGUAAAGGGCGUGUAGGCGGUUUGUUAAGUCUGGCGUGAAAGCUCUCGGCUAAACCGGGAGAGGUCGUUGGAUACUGGCAAACUUGAGGAUGGUAGAGGCGUGUGGAAUUCCGGGUGUAGUGGUGAAAUGCGUAGAGAUGUGGAGGAACACCGAUGGCGAAGGCAGCCCCCUGGGUCAAGAUUGACGCUCAUGCACGAAAGCGUGGGGAGCAAACAGG